AUAAUAAAACUGUAUUUUUAGGUAUAAAUGGCACCAUACACUUUGUUGCUAUACAUCAUAUACUACAUCCGUGGGUUUUUUUUAUACCAUUGGAUCCAGUUAUAGCAAAUACUUGAUAGUUGAUAGUUUACUUUAGCAUGUAUGGUAAUCGAGGCCUGACUAAAUUAUUGAACCAAACUCAAGUUAAAUAGUGUUUCUAAUAAUCUUGGAUUCAGCUAUGUUUUAUUUAUAGUUAUACAAGAUAGCUAAAUAUAUGAUGUGAUGGUUCUAUUGUUUGAAGUAAUUUAUUGUGUUUAGAAGUGAUUGUAUUUUCCAUGGGUGGAACAGACCCAUCCCAUCCAUGCUUCACUCAACUGAGCAUCUCUGCUUAUGGGCCUCAUGGGAUUAUGCAUAGUGAACGAACAUGAGUUGAACUGGCCAAUUGGCGGUACUUAAUACAAUAUAAAUCAGGUGUGUUCACCUGGAGGUCUUGUUUAUCUCAUAUGUUUGCCAUGUCCACACACGUGGAAGCCUGCGGAGGGGCUGGGGCUGACAAUAUACAUCAACUCCCAAGGUGGAUGAGUGCAAGUCUGCACAUGGGUGGAAUUUCCUGACAAUAUACCACAGCUUAUGGUUGGGCCCUGGCCCAUCUGAGAUAGCACCCAUCUCCAAGAUCAUCUGAAACCAUUGUCUCCUGAUAUGUGCCAAUUGACUGGCCUAUGGUACUUAUAAGUGGAUACUAAUGGAACCUGCAUCAAUGGUUGUCUGGUACUUAUUAAGUGGAUACUAAUGAUAUUCUAUUUCAGCCUGCCACCACUAAUGGUAAGCAACAAGACUCUCUGCUAAAAUUUUCCCUUAACAUUUGGUUUGUCAUGUUGAGUUGUGCUUCCAUUCUAUGGAUUUCUCCUCAUGGUGUUCAUUUCCUCAUGCUUGCAGAUAGGAUCCACAGCAAAAUGGGUGAAGGUUAGUUUCUGCAACUAACAUAAUCUGAAAACCUCCCCUUGUCUACUUGCAUGGUACUUUCAGCAGUGUGUGCCUUUAGAAGCACAACUUGUAACCAGUUUGGCUGCCUGAUUGGUAGUUCCAAAUGCAAGAUCAUGCAUCUGGAGAAUGCUGUGCCCCUGAGCUGGUGAGUUGGCCGAAAAUGUUUCAAAAAUGAUUGAUUCUCAUUUUGCAGAGAAGAUUGAUAUGUCAGAAGUGCAGGAUAAGUUCUUAGUGGUGAUCACAAAAGCAUUGAUUCCAUUAGUACAUGGGCUAUAAACUAAAUUUGAUACUGAAAUGGUUGCAAUGACACGUGUUCCAUGGGGUACUCUUAAAAGUGUUGGUGACCAAUCAGAGUACGGCUCCACUCUCCUAUUUUGUGUGAUGCAUCAUUUGAGGAUCAAAUGAAAGAAAUGUCAUUCUUUUUGUUUGAACCAGCGGUGGUACAUAUGGAUGCCAUCUUUCAAUAGUA